rnacentral:rRNA from 1 species
AUAUCAAUAAGCGGAGGAAAAGAAACCAACAGGGAUUACCUCAGUAACGGCGAGUGAAGCGGUAACAGCUCAAAUUUGAAAUCUGGCCUCACGGUCCGAGUUGUAAUUUGCAGAGGAUGCUUCGGGCGUGGUCCGGUCUAAGUUCCUUGGAACAGGACGUCAUAGAGGGUGAGAAUCCCGUAUGUGACCGGGUGCCGCUGUCCAUGUGAAGCUCCUUCGACGAGUCGAGUUGUUUGGGAAUGCAGCUCAAAAUGGGUGGUAAAUUUCAUCUAAAGCUAAAUAUUGGCCAGAGACCGAUAGCGCACAAGUAGAGUGAUCGAAAGAUGAAAAGCACUUUGGAAAGAGAGUUAAACAGUAC